UACGGGGGGAGCAAGCGUUGUUCGGAUUUACUGGGCGUAAAGGGCGCGUAGGCGGCUCAACAAGUCACUUGUGAAAUCUCCGGGCUUAACUCGGAACGGUCAAGUGAUACUGUCGAGCUAGAGUACAGAAGGGGCAACUGGAAUUCUCGGUGUAGCGGUGAAAUGCGUAGAUAUCGAGAGGAACCCCUGCGGCGAAGGCGGGUUGCUGGGCUGAUACUGACGCUGAGGCGCGAAAGCCAGGGGAGCGAACGGG
rnacentral:rRNA from 1 species